GAUGAACGCUGGCGGCGUGCCUAAUACAUGCAAGUCGAGCGAACAGACGAGGAGCUUGCUCCUCUGACGUUAGCGGCGGACGGGAGAGAAACACGUGGAUAACCUACUUAUAAGACGGGGAUAACUACGGGAAACCGGAGCAAAUACCGGAGAAUAUACUGAAGCGCAGGGGGCAAUAGUGAAAGACGGCUUUGCUGUCACGUAUAGAGGGAUCUGGGCCGCAUUAGGGAGUUGGUAAGGUAACGGCUUACCAAGGGGACGAGGCGUAGCCGACCUGAGAGGGUGUUCGGCCGCCCUGGAGCUGGACCGCGGUCCAGGCUCCUACGGGAGGCAGCAGUAGGGAAUCUUCCGCAGUGGGCGGGAGCCUGGCGGAGCGGCGCCACGUGAGUGAUGACGGUCUUCCGAUCGUAAUACUCUGUUAUUAGUGAAGAACAACUGUGUAAGUAACUAUACACGUCUUGACGGUACCUAAUCAGAAAGCCCCGGCUAACUACGUG
rnacentral:rRNA from 1 species